UGAAACAAAACCAGCCACCAUUAUCAUGAACAUUCUCUAUAGGAAAACUGAGAUUUAUUUCACCGACGUAAUACUCAAAUCUCACAUACAAUCACUAUGCAAUCAAGGGAGCUUGCAUUGAUCAAAUCCCAAUUACACCCUUCUCUUUACAUGAAAAUUUUGCAACUUCUGCAUUGAUCAAAGUGCCCAGAAACCAGCUAAUUUGAUUCAUGCCCACGUUAUAACCAGUGAGUUCGGUUCAGAUGUCCAUUUGAACACCAAACUGAUCAUCUUUUAUUCGAAGGUUAGGGAUGUGGUUUCAGCUCGCAAAGUGUUCGAUAAAAUGACUGAAAGAAGUGUUGUUUCAUGGACAGCAAUGGUUUCUGGGUAUCCCAAGUUGGGUAUCACGAGAAUGCGUUGUCUCUGUUUCUGAGAUGGUAGGGUGGGUGUAAAGGCCAACCAGUUUACUUAUGGGAGCGCAUUGAGAGCGUGUACUGCAUUGAAGUGUUUGCAGGGAGGUAUGCAAAUACAAGGGUGUGUGCAGAAAGGUAGAUUUGUUGAGGACGUUUUUGUUUAGACUGCAUUACUUGAUUUGCAUGCCAAAUGCGGGAAGAUGGAAGGAGCACGAGUUUUGUUUGACACAAUGUCAAAAAAGGACGUGGUUUCUUGGAAUGGGAUGAUUGGAGGAUAGUCUUUCAGUUGUUUCGAUUGAUGAUGAGGGAAGGUACAAUGUGAAGUUGUAUAAACAUCAAACAAAUCCCUCACUAUCCCUUGAACCCAGUACCAUUCCCAAAUUUUGAUUAUAAAGGAUAGUAAACUAUCAAUUUUACACAAAAUGGCAAUGGCUGACACAGUCCUUGUCUCCUCCUUCUCUCCUUCCCGUUCACCAUAUCUUACAUCUGCCACUCACACAACACUUUUAUAGGCGUAAGGAAGAGGCAAAAUGGUUGGUUGGGAGCGGAAAAAUAAAUGGGGCCAUGAGAUGGGUAACUGGAAAAUCAACUACCACUCCAACAUGAAUCAAAGGUCAACAUGUCUAGUUUCCAAACACUCAUAUGCGGUGGUAACUUAAAACAACAGCAAAAGAAUAUACACACACCAAAUCCUAGCACAAUAGAUUUGGUCCUUAGUUUCCAUCACAUCACUACCAUGUUACAUAUACUAAACUUAUAGGAUUAUCAUCUUUCUUCUUCACUCCCUUGCCCUCCGAAGGUGCUGCAUGAAGCUUCCUAACUCCUCUCUGAAAUUAGGGUCUCUACUCUGUAUAUGAUCCUCUCUCUCUGCAAUUGUAAUACUCUAUGUUGCUUGCACCUCUUCACCUGGAUUUUCCAUGAGGGCCACCUCUUCCUUGUGAAUGACUCUCCCCUUUUCUUGAGUUCUCUGCAACUAAUGCAUGCUCCCCCCUGAACAUUCCUUUUUUCCCCAUAAUUUUCUCACUCUCCCUCAGUUGGGUACGACAUCAUCAAGCUUUUAUGUUGUUAUGUUAACAAAUAUUGUUUGCACUACUAGUUUAUAAGAUUUGGGGGAGGAAGCUGUUACAGAAUGUAAAUCAUAGUAAUUAACUAGGGUUUAAUUAGGUUAAAGGAUGUCGUAAUAAAAUAUUUCUCUAUGUAAUUAAUAUAUAUAAGGUCAUGAUAUUUAAUAAUUACAUAAUAAAUCAUUCUUAACAUGGUACAAGAGAUUUAGGAAAAAUAUCUAUAUCUCUUUUCAAAUCAUAAUCAGCAUUCAUUUCCGAAAUAAGAAAAUUACAGUGAACCUCCAACUGGGCCGACCUUCAUAGCCGGCCACCAUGACCACCACCACUGCUGGCCUUCAUAGCCAGCCACCAGCCUGAUAAGCCAUCUUCACCAAUUGCUCUCUGCAGCUGUGAGCCAGACCAGCAACGCAACCAACCAAGACGCUUGCGCCUUGGUGCGCCUAUUCUAGUCGCACCUCCACCAUAACCGUGCGAGCUAGGACAACCUGUGGCUGUUGUCCACUGCACCAGCAGCCACCUAUCCUCAUUAGCUCCUUAUUCAGCACGACUAUUUCGUUUUCUCCCUUAUAAAAUUGUCCUUAAUUCACCCAGAAAAUUCUGCUCAUGUCGAAGAUCACGUCCCAAGCCCCCGGCACAAAGCAUAAUGUGGCAAAUUCGCAGCAAUCAACUAGAUAAUUUGAAUAAAUUCAGGUUGCCUACUGCCUGAAUAAGAAAAUCACUUUAAUUGGUCACAAUCGAUUCUGGCAAUCCUUAAAGAAAAAUUCAUACUUAGCUAUUUUCUAGGAUUGGAGCACAAUAGAGAGACCUACAAUUUGAUGCCUGGGAUAAAGAAAAUUUGAUGAUAAUGAUUUGGUUCUAGAAUUUAUGUUCUUGACCACUGCUAAAGAAGUUUGGGAAGCAGUCAGAUAAACUUAUUGCAGAGUAAAAGAUGUAGCUCAGAUCUAUAAUUUAACAAUUAAAAUAUGAUCUUGAAAACAAGAAAAUUAGCGAUAGAGUAUGUUAAUCUACUAAAGAAUUGGUUGCAAGAAUUAGAUUAGUAAAGCUGCCUUACCAUAAGAAAGCACUUCUAAGCUCAAAUAAUCUCCUAGAGUAUAGUUUCGUAAAUGGCAAAUGUAAGGUUAAGCAUGGGAUACAAUCGAAGUCAAGAAAACCAUACCCUAUUGAUCAAACACUCUAUUUUAGGGGAGAUUUAUAGUUCUCCUACUGUAUGUUGAUGAUAUCAUUAUGACAGGUGAUGAUGAAAAAGAAAAACAAAUAGUCAAACAGUGUCUGGCUAAGAAGUUUGAGAUUAAGGAAUUGAAAAGCUGAAAUAUUUAAUUGGAAAUGAAGUUACUCACAUAAAAUCAGAAAUCUUUAUCUCAUAAUAAAAAUAUAUCAAUAAUAUGCUAAAAGAUAUAGGCAAGCUGACAUGUAAACCUAUUAGUACUUCUAUUGAUUCCAACCAUAAGUUGGGACUUGCAGAAGAAGAUACAAAGGUAAACAAGGAAAUGUACUAGUGAUUAGUUGGAAGAUUAAUAUAUUUGUUGCACACAAGACUAGAUUUUACCUAUAUAGUAAGUGUAAUAAGUCAAUUCAUACACAACUCUGAAAAGCUACGUUUACAAGCAAUAUGUAGAGUAUGUACAUUACUUGAAGGGAACACCUGGGGUGUUAUGUUUAAAAGAAAUAACAGGUUACUUAUUGAAAUCUGUACCGAUGUAGAUUAUGCCGGACCAAUAGUGGACAAAAGAUUUACUAUAGGUUAUUAUUUCUUAGGGGUAAUUUGGUCAUCUGGAGAAGCAAAAAAUAAAAUAUAGUCGCAAGAUUAGUAUUGAGUCAGAAUUUGAGUAGUGGUACAAGGAUUAUGUGAGUUGCUACGUUAAAAAUGAAAUGGACCUACACGUCUCUAUUGUGGUAACAAGUCAACUAUAAGUAUUGCUCAUAAUUCAGUAUAACAUGAUGUAACAAAAUAUAUUGAAUUUAACAUGGACUUCAUUAAAGAGAAACUACGUAGUGACCUGAUAUGUACAUCACACAUGCCUAUUAACUCUUAACUUAUAGAUGUAUUGACCAAAGACUUGAUUGACUAGGUAUUAUAGACAAUUAUGGUCAAGCUUGGAAUAGGUAAUGUCUAUAACUCAGCUUAAAAGGGAGUGUUAGAACAUGUAUACCAUCUUUAAUUAACUAGUGCUAAAUUAGGUUAUAAGAUAUAGUGGUGAAAUACAUCCCUGUGAAGUAAUUGUCACUUUCCUUUUUUGUUCACAAGAAUAUAUACAUAUAUAUAGACAUGAUAUUUAAUAGAAUACACAACAAAUUAUUCUUAACAGGAGCCAAUAUCAAUAGUGUUUGCUUGCUCCUUACCUUUCAGUUGUUUUGCUCAUCUCUUCCUAACAAUUGGUACACCUAUUUAAGAGAAUUAAUAUGGUUAUAAAAUUACCUCCUUUCGCCAUCUUUAGUGCGUAAAGGUUCAUCUUCAUGUGCAACUGGUUAAUAGAGUAAAUGCAUAACUCCUCUGUAAUUUGAUCAACAAUGUCUUUGGUAUUGUAUCCUCCAGCAAGCUAUACUUAAUUUUCAGGAGCGAGUGAAUACUGACCAAUUUUGUUGCAUAAAUAGUCUUCAUUUUCAGGAUUUUCAUCUUCAAAAGCCAUCUCAAGAUUUUGUCGGACAAGCAAAUGUUUUACCAUACACUAUCACAGGGUAAAAUUGAUUUUUCUAUUGAAGACCAAGACAUCAAAGUUUGUGCAGUUCGCUAUCAUAAUAACCCACACAAUAAUUUGAAAGGUGGUUGAUGGCGUGGCAAUGACCACUGGCAAAACUCUCAUUUUGUGCAUAGACUCACCUUUGAUCCCCUUUUCAACAAGCACAAGAACUUGACAACCUUGGUUUUUGUACUAGUUGUUGGGGAUGCUUUCACACCAGAAAUAAUAAAAUAAAAGGAGAGAACAAGAACACACGAAUUAAUUUGGUUUGAUCCAUAACCUACACCAAUGGGAACAUUGACAAUAUUGGAAUCUACAACGAGAAAAUGUGUAAACACUGCAAAAUCUUUUAUUAUUUCUUGAAACUAGAUUGCGAAGUAUAGGGGAAAAGAUCAGUCUUAUAUGAAUCUCAAUGACUCACACUCUUCAACCCCUCUUCUCUUUUUGCCGUUCACCACACGCUACUUACCACACAGACACACUGCUUUUAUAGGAGAAAGGAACAAGAAAGAAGGUUGUUGGGGAUGAAGAAUAAAUGGAGCCAUGAAGUGGGGUGGCUGAAAAUUGACCAUCAUCCGCACGAGUUAAAAGUCAACAACGAAUAUGUUAAUCCUCAGGGAAGACUCCUGAUUCCUUCACUUUAAGUAAUGCUUUGAGGGCCUCUAUUGGAGGUAGUGGUCUCAUGAAGGUUAGUCAAGUACAUGGAUUGAUCAUCAAACUAGGUUUUGGAGCACAUAGCAUGCUAGCUGGAUCCCUCAUUGAUGCUUGCGCAAAAUGUGGAAGCACCAAGAGCGCUUAUCAGUUAUACAAGAUAAUGAUAGAAAAGGAUAUAAUUUCUUGUACUGCUUUAAUAGCUGCAUUUGCACGUUUAGGCGGAUACACAAAGGAUGCAUUCAAUCUUUUCGAAGAUGUAAAGUUAAUGCAGAUGAGAGUAGAUGAUGUUAUAUUAUGCUCCAUCCUUAAUAUAUGUGCCAAUACUGCAUCUUUAAGUUUUGGGAGACAAAUACAUGCUUUUGCUUUAAAAAGUCAACCUAGUUAUGAUGUGGCAAUGGGAAAUGCUCUCAUUGAUAUGUAUGCCAAAUCUGGAGAAGUUGAAGAUGCUACCCCCUUGCUUUUAAUGAGAUGAGAGAGAGAUAUGUGAUUUCUUGGACAUCAUUGAUUGCAGGAUAUGGGAAGCAUGGAUAUGCAGAUAAAGCAAUUGCACUAUAUAAGAAGAUGGAAUGUCAAGGCGUGAAACCAAAUGACAUCACAUUCUUAUCCCUCCUUUUCGGUUGUAGCCAUACUGGAUUGAUUGGCGAAGGAUGGAAGAUAUUCAAUACUAUGGUUAGCAAAUACAAUAUUUCACUUAGAGCUGAGCAUUGUUCUUGCAUUAUAGAUCUUUUUGCAUGUGGAGGGCAGUUAGAACUAGCUUAUUCUUUGAUAAGUGAAUGAAUAUAAAGCCUAGCCCAUCACUUUGGGGUUCUCUUCUUGGAGCAUGUAGAAUCUAUGAAAACGUGGCU